rnacentral:rRNA from 1 species
GCGAAAGCAUUUGCCAAGGAUGUGUUCAUUAAUCAAGAACUGAAAGUUGGGGGAUCAAAGACGAUCAGAUACCGUCGGUAGUCUUAACCAUAAACGAUGCCGACUAGAGAUUGGAGGAGAUAAUUGAGCUCCUUCAGCAUUAAGGAGAAAUCAAAGUCUUGGGUUCUGGGGGGAGUAUGGUCGCAAGGCUGAAACUUGAAGGAAUUGACGGAAGGGCACCACCAGGAGUGGAGCCUGCGGCUUAAUCUGACUCAACACGGAGAAAUUUACCAGGUCCAGACAUUGACAGGAUUGACAGAUUGAUAGCUCUUUCUUGAUUCUAUGGGUGUGGUGCAUGCCGUUCUUAGUUGGUGGAGUGAUUUGUCUGGUUAAUUCCGAUAACGAACGAGACCUUAACCUGCUAACUAGUUCUGAGGGUUAUUACCCUUUGUAACUUCUUAGAGGGACUGUGUG